rnacentral:rRNA from 1 species
GCAUGGACUGUAGCAAUACAGUCUGAUGGCAAGCGGCGGACGGGUGAGGAAUACGUAGGAACCUACCCUCGAGCGGGGGACAACCAAGGGAAACUUUGGCUAAUACCGCAUAAACUCGAGAGAGAAAAGAUGCCCGCAAGGGUGUCACUUGAGGAGGGGCCUGCGUCCGAUUAGCUAGUUGGUAGGGUAAAAGCCUACCAAGGCGAUGAUCGGUAACUGGUCUGAGAGGACGACCAGUCACACUGGGACUGAGACACGGCCCAGACUCCUACGGGAGGCAGCAGUGGGGAAUAUUGGACAAUGGGGGCAACCCUGAUCCAGCGAUGCCGCGUGAGUGAAGAAGGCCUUCGGGUCGUAAAGCUCUUUAGGUUGGGAAGAAGAGUGCGGUAUGAAUAAGACCGUGCUUUGACGGUACCGACAGAAUAAGCACCGGCAAACUCUGUGCCAGCAGCCGCGGUAAUACAGAGGGUGCAAGCGUUAAUCGGAUUUACUGGGCGUAAAGGGCGCGUAGGCGGUAAGAUGUGUGUGAUGUGAAAGCCCCGGGCUUAACCUGGGAAGUGCAUUGCAAACUAUCUAACUGGAGUAUAUGAGAGGGUGGCGGAAUUUCCGGUGUAGCGGUGAAAUGCGUAGAUAUCGGAAGGAACGUCAAUGGCGAAGGCAGCCACCUGGCAUAAUACUGACGCUGAGGCGCGAAAGCGUGGGGAGCGAACAGGAUUAGAUACCCUGGUAG